rnacentral:misc_RNA from 1 species
UCCGUGUUAACCACGGCAGUCUCUCUAGAGUGCCCAACUUAAUGCUGGCAACUAAAGACAAGGGUUGCGCUCGUUGCGGGACUUAACCCAACAUGUCACCACACGAGCUGACGACAGCCAUGCAGCACCUGUCAUCCGGUAGUAUUGCUACUAAAAAUAGAUCUCUCUAUCGGUCCGGAGAUGUCAAACCCAGGUAAGGUUCUUCGCGUUGCUUCGAAUUAAACCACAUGAUCCACCGCUUGUGCGGGCCCCCGUCAAUUCCUUUGAGUUUUAGUCUUGCGACCGUACUUCCCAGGCGGGGUACUUAGUGCGUUAGCUCCGAUUCGGCGGGGGUCAAGACCCACCAAACCUAGUACCCAUCGUUUACGGCGUGGACUAC